rnacentral:tRNA from 1 species
GGCUCUGUGGCUCAGUUGGUUAGAGCGCGUGCUUCACACGCACGAGGCCCCCGGUUCGAGCCCGGGCAGAGUCA